rnacentral:rRNA from 1 species
UACGUAGGGGCAAGCGUUAUCCGGAUUUACUGGGUGUAAAGGGAGCGCAGACUGAACUGCAAGUCUGAUGUGAAAGCCCGGGGCUCAACCGCGGGACUGCAUUGGAAACUGUAGAUCUGGAGUGCCGGAGGGGCAAGCGGAAUUCCUGGUGUAGCGGUGAAAUGCGUAGAUAUCAGGAGGAACACCGGCGGCGAAGGCGGCUUGCUGGACGGCAACUGACGUUGAGGCUCGAAAGCGUGGGUAGCAAACAGGAUUAGAUACCCU